AGGGCUGGUGCCACUACCAAGAAAGCCUUCUGCCUGGUUCCCUGUAACCUCACUUCUCGCAGUGAGCGAACUGCCAGAAGGCCCUCGGCGCAGAACGAUGGGGGUGGAGACACUCCUUCAGGUAUACUGGGCCGAGGCUGUUGAGGGCUUUAAAGGUCAGCACUAAGACUUUGAAUUGUGUUCGGAAACAUACCAGGAGCCAAUGUAGGUCUUUCAGGACUGGUGUUAUAUGGUUUUGGUGGCCACUCCCAGUCACCAAUGCACUGGGGUUGUGCAAGCUAUUCUAUACACAUUGUAGAAUAGCUAGGUACUCUGUCUGUGUGAUAAUGAGAUGCAGUUUGUUGUCGAGAUGGAAAAUGGAAGGCAGGCUGAGCUGAGCUCUUGUGCAGCCUUCAUUUGAACACUCCAGGAAGGAGCAGGAUUUGUGCUGCAUUUGUAACUAUCACAAAGGUGUUCAAACAUCCAGAGAAGAAAUGUGCUGAGAUGGUGCUAGAAAGCACUUUGCACACUUAACACAAUUCAGACUUAAUACAAUUCAUUCCCUCCCUCCCUCCCACUCACACACACCUCAGCUAAAUAAGUGAAGCCAAAACAAUAGAUCAUAGAUUCAAGAAUUUUACUCUCUAAGCGAUGUUAAAAAAAUUGGGUCAGACCCUCUUUAUCAGUUAGACCUUGCUUUCCCUCCACUGAUACCAAGCUUACAAAAUGAAUUUAUAAAUGGAGAAUUAUAUCAGACAAUCAACAUUCCAAUAUGGAGAAAUAUCUUGCAAGUGGGAAUGUGGGUUGAAGAGGGACAUAACAUCUUACCAUAUUACCAAGCAUUGGUAGCAUCAGGACAAAUCACUCUCCUUUUAUUUUAGAUUUUCCAACUCAGAUAGGUGGCAGAACAGCUAAUAAGCAAAUAUGGAAAUCCACAUAGGUGGAAUCUACACACAUAUAAAAACUGUUCUGAAAAUGUUUUUUUAAAGCGUUUUUUAAAAAUGCAUUGAAUUUUCCAUAAGGCUCACCAUUACCAUCUAGUAUCACAUUGUAUAUUGCACUUAAAAUACGUGUUUUAUUUGCUGAGUCCAUAGACUGACGUCGUUUGAAGUUCCUUUUUCUUUUUCAGCCAGAGCGCUCAUAGCUGACCAUAUUCUUCCUAAACCUCCAAAUACUUGUUCUCCAUUGUUGAAGCCUACUGUUUCAAAGCAUAAACACCAAUCUUUCUGUAACACAGUACAGCUAAAUGGAAUUGCCUGGUGCUAUUAAGCAUUACUGUUGGCAGCUGGAAAACAACAACAACAAAAUCUGCAAAUAAGGAACACACUGGAGCAGCAGUGCGGGACUGAUGCACAUCACCAUUCCUAUCACUCAGCUUCCCAUCCCUUGAUCAUUAUUCAACAUUCUGGAGCUUCCGUGUGAACUGCUCCCACUGAAAAGCGUCAUCCUUGUCUCAGCGCCACAUCUGUCCUGAUAGCGUCUUUAUCCCCUCCACUCACAGUCUUGACCUGGAAUGGAUUAGGCUUGCCUGCUUUAACGCUGGCAUUUCAGAUUAAAGGAUUAAUGCAGCCUCCAUCCCAAUGGGUGCUUAGCUUUUGGGUGCUCCUUUCUUAGGGCUUGUCCACACUUCCACUUGUGCUGUGCCUAGAAAGCAUGCGUCUGAGUGGUUUCCCCAUUGCACCGCUCCUUCCCAAGGGAAAACCAGCUCUUUAGCAAUAGAUUGGAACUCAUCUUUAGUGGCCUGGCUAUUGCAGCAAUGGAAUCUCUGCUGGAUCCAGGAAUUAGAAGGGCCUCGCAUACAGCCUACUUUUCCCCUGCCCCCCACCAACUGGUUUGGCACACACAAACUCAUAACAUAAACUACGGAACUUGCUCCUGCAGAAGGUAGUGAUGGUCACCAACUUGGAUGGCUUUAAAACAGGACUGGGAAAAUUAAUGGAGGAUAAAGCUAUCAAUGGCUACUAGCCGUGAUAAUAAUAAUAAUAAUAAUAAUAAUAAUAAUAAUAAAUUUUUAUUUAUAUCCCGCCCUCCCCAGCCAAAGAAUGGCUCAGAAUAGCUAACAACCAUAAAAAUAGCACAAUUUACAUAAAAUCACAGUCAAUGAAUUGAAAUACAUUCUAAAAUCAAUUCAGAUUCAAAUUAAUGGCCACCAUUGGGCUAGAGUUCUAUGAGGAUUACAGAAGGAGAGAGGGGGUCAGACUGUGCCUUUGCCAAAGGCCUGGUGGAACAGCUCUCUAUUGCAGGCCCUGCGGAAAGAUGUCAAGUCCCUCAGGGCCCUAGUCUCUUCUCACAGAGCGUUCCACCAGAUCGGGGCCAUGGUCAAAAAAGCCUUGGCUCUGGUUGAGGCCAGCCUAACGUCCCUGUGGCCUGGGAUCUCCAAGAUGUUUUUAUUUGAAGACCGUAAGGUCCUCCGUUGGACAUACCAGGAGAGGCGGUCCCGUAGGUACGAGGGUCCUAGGCCGUAUAGGGCUUUAAAGGAUGCCUAUGCUCUGCCUACACAGUUGCUUCUGAAUAGUAGUUUCUGGAAGCUGCCGGAAGGGAAAGCGUUCUUAUGCUCAGAUCCUGCUUGCAGGUUUCCCACAGGUAUCUGGUUGGCCACUGUGAGAAUGGGAUGAUGGACCAAAUGGGUCACUGGCUUGAUCCAGCAGGCUCUUCUUAUGUCCAUCUGGCUUGGUAUUGUCUAUAAUGACUUGGAGCAGCUCUCCAAAGUUUUAGACAGAGGUCUUUGCCCUGCCCUGCCUGGAGAUGCUAGGCAUUCAACCUGUUGCCUUUUACAUACAAAGCAUGUGCCCUGACUGUGAGCCAGCACCCUUCCCCUUAUUACUGUUUGAUUGUAGCAAAUGAACAACCUGGACUUUGGGCCACUCAUUAUAUGAUAUCCCCCUUGCAAUGGCUUUAUACUUCUUAUAUCUUGAAGGGGCACCCAACCAAGUGUUCUGUUGAUUAAGCAUCAUUAUAGAUCAAAACAGGCAAAUUUGCUGGAAUCAGAACUGAUCCAGCGAAGCUGUUCAUCCUUGAUUAGAAGCUGAUCUGAGCUCAUUUUUAGUUCUCUGUGAAUUUAGUGGGCUUCGUCUCCUUUUCAGACUUUGACAACGCAGCUACAAAAAUGCCACCAGUGGAAUGUGAAGAAAGCCACAUUUCCAAUAUUCAGGGCUAACACCAAUCAGAGGAAUCAAAGAGAGACAAAGGAAAUAGCUGGGAAGACACUUGUGAUAUGGUUAAACAGCAAGAAAAAUGCUUACUGGGAUUUUAAUCUCCCACUUUAGGAACUGAAGUGAAUCAAUCAGAUAAUGGGGAAAGAUUAUAUUGGGUUCAGCCUGCUAACAAGCACAGGUAAAGAGGCUGGCUGGCUGUGCAGAUUCUUUGCAGUGCCAGCUCCACUAAUUACGUCUUUUGCAAAUGCUGAACAGUGUGUUUAUUAUUUUAUUUUUCUGAAAAGGAAAGAAGUCAUUUGGGGGUGGGAUUUUAAACUGCUUUAUUUUCUCCCAAAUGAAAAAUGAAUGUUCUUUGUUCCCCCCCUUGCUUCUGUGGCAGCAGGAAGACAUCGUAAUCUAUGCCUUGGAAAUGAGCACAGUGUAAUUAACACCUCUCCUUAGUCUCAGACACAAAAGAGGUCGCUAAGAUGAACAGCAUUCAGAACGGAGCUAAGCGCAUCGCUCUGGCAAUUAGUGCUUUAUUAGAGCUCUGUGCUCACGACUCUUACCCAUGUGGCCUCUUAAACUAAUGCACAGCCCCGUCACACACACACUAAUAACUCUUCCUAAAGAGGGUGUUCUUUCCAUGCAUCUGCCACCAACACAGGAGGGUUUUGUGAUGCUGGGAAGCUUCUACAUUGCAUUUUUGAACCUUUCUGACUGCACCAAUACCAAGAAAACUCCUGCUACUCUACACAGUUGACGGUAAUAGAUUGGCACAAGUACAGCCUGACUGAGUUCCCCAAGGAGGGUUGGAGAGAGAUUUGCAUAAUAUUUGCAUAUGCUAAUUUCUAGGUAUAGGCGCAACAUUAGAAACAAUGGCUGCAAUUUAAUUAGAUAUACAUCUCACCAUAGUGGGGAAUACCCUCUCCCAGGAUGCACAAUUAAGACUUCCAUUUUGUGUAAUCCAUUUUGCAGUGACAGAGGUUUGUGCUUUUAUCCUCUGGUUGUUGUCUUUUUGCAAGUGCCUUAAUGAUUGCUUUUUAAUUUUUAAAAGUUUUGAUUGCUGAUGCAGUUGCUGUCUUUAAAGGCCUACAUUUCCUCCAACUAUUAGGUAACGCUACCAAUUUGGUUAACACAGGAACAUGAGAUGACUCUGCUGAAUCAGGCCAGUGGCCCAUCUAGUACAGAAUCCUGUUCUUACAGUGGUCAAGCAGCUUCAUGGGAUGCUCAUGAAUUCUAGCGUUAUGAGAGAAACUUCUCUCUGUUCACUUUCUCAAUGUCAUGCAUCAUUUUAUAAACUAUCUAGUAGAGGCAUCUCAUUUUAUUUAUCCAUUUGCAGCUUUUGCACCCUACCUUUCCGCCUGAUAACAGGCCUCCAAGACAAUAAGUGAGAACUGAUAGAUAACAGAAUAGUGAGAUCUUUGAAAAGGCUGCAAUGACUUAUGAAGGCUCACGUGCAGAGCAGAUAGAUGGUGAUAGAAAACCUCUCAGCAAGCACUAAAUAUUGUUGUUGCAGCUGUGAGUAAGGUUUUCAGAGAACAACCCCUCCCCUCCUGACACCCUCAUACUUUCACUUGGGCCUGCCUUCUCUUUUACUAAUGGUUGGAAACACAAAGCCCCAAAGUGGUCCCUCCUGAAAAGGCGCGGGAGCCAGUUUAGGAAUAAAAGCAAGCGCCCACUUUGUCGCAGCACACUGUGCUGUAGCGCUGCCUCUCUUGAAAGCCAAUUGCAAUGAUAUGUUAUUUGGCUAUGAUAACAGAUCGCAGAAAUGAUGUGGAUGGAAGGAGACCCUUGUUUAACUCAUAGAAGGGCAAAUGAUGGAUUUCACAGCCCGAUUAUCAGAAAUUGGCCAAUAUCCCAGCAAGUGAUGUAUACGGCAGUCAGAUGAGAACUGCUGGAGAAGGAUGUGUGGGCUUGUGAAUAAAGUGCUUGAUUAGGGCUUGCUGAUAAACCCCAUGUGAACCCAGGCACUUCACUCCCCAUGCAUAGCGAAGAUUGCUUAAAUACAACUUGUUAAAACACUCCAACAGCUUUUAGGCACUCAAAUCUGAAUUGUUAAAAAAUAGUGAAUGGAUUAUUUCUCCCAGUCUGGGGUGCAGUGAUGACUUCCAGUACGGUUCCAACAGCCAGUACGGAUCAUAUCGCCAGAUGCCUGAAUCUCAGUACUUCUCAAUGGAAACAACUCACACGUUCACAUGUGAGUACUGGAGCGAUGGGAAGGGACGGAUGAAUGCCUGAGACCCAGUCAGGUGUAUUGCUUUCACGUAUUACUUUCCUCAGCUAUUCCCACAGCCAAUCAGCUGGACAGCAUAGAAGGGGGAAGCAAAUGGGAUCUCAAGUGCUCUGCCUCCAUCUGCUCUGUAGCUGAUUGGUGCUAGCAACUGCGCUCCCUCAGCUGUUUGGCAGGCUGCAGGGAUUGAAGGUGCAUGAGGAUGACUGUCUCCAUGGACCUUCCCCGCAGUUGCAUUCACACUUCCUCCAGUGGUUGGGCAGCCUGCUGUCAGGAGUAGGUCAGCAAUAAAAAACAAUGACACUGGUAUCAGUGAAGUUAACACUUGAUGCAAAGAAACCAAAGCAGUGCAGGCCUACCUAGUGAUCACAGCAGCUCUUCCCAGUAGCUCUUGCCUCAACGAGGCAGUUGCGAGGACUGAAGGUCUCUGCCUUCCCUUCUCUAAGAACCCUCCCUGGUUCCUUCCCCAGCAGCCUAAGAGUCCAUCACCUUGUCUCCCGUUGCUCCACCCUCUUCAUUUAUCUGACUGUUCUGGCAGACAAGGUAGGAGGGGAGAUGGUUGCAGCAGGAGGUGGAGACUCCCUGGAGCCUACCACAUCUCUGUCUCCUGGUCCCCCCUCCUCUCCUGCCUCUGAGUUUGGACCGCUCUCUGCCACAGCCUCUUCCUGCUCACUAAAUCCUGUUGACUCUUCAGCUUCUGACACCUCCCCCCCCAGUCUGCUCCCUCUUCUCCCUCUGACCACACAUCGUCAUCCCACCACCAAUCCCCUGGCUCUGAGCCUCCUUCCCCUGGGGGUUCUCGUAGGGGUUCCCCAGCUGAUGCCUCCCACCACUCCUCUUCAUCCAGUCAGUCUACGACAGCUGGGGCAAGUGCACAGAGUUCUGUCUCCCAAGCAAGGUUGAAUUAGUUGGUGGAGAGGUGUCAGGGGAAAUCCAUGACAGGUCACAGGAAAGCACAUUCAGAGUUUUCCUCAAAUAAUUGUGGGCACCGUAGUUUACCCGUCAAACAGUUAAAAUUCCAAGUAACCCUUAACAAACUACAGUGCCCAGACCUUUUUGAGCGAAGGAAUGUGCUUCAAAUGUUCUCUAAAGGUAUAGUGUGAGGGGGACUCACAUUUGGUUGGCUUAUUGUCUAGGAGAGCCCUAUACACAUUCAUCAGCGCAUGUGUAAAGUUUCUUCACAAACUCGGCAAAUGCAGAUGAGGUGAGGGGCAUAGCAGCAGUGUACAUUGAUGGCAGAAGUGGGGAUAGUCUGCCUGACCCUGUGACACUUCCUUGUGUGUUGUCUCUUCUGAUCUUUCUAAUAACAAUGAUUACUCAGAUCUGAAGAUAAAUGAUAGAUAGAUAGAUUGAGGGUUUAUCCCAUCCUUCAACUGUAUCGCACUUAGGGCAGCUACAUCUGUUUUAAAACAAGCAAAUUCCAACCAAAAAUAAUAAAACAAUCAAGCCUUCAUGGAAUGCUAAAACAAAGACAGGUGCUGCAUAUAAAACCAAUCGAAAAACACUUGGGUUGGCAACAUUUUGCAAAUAUACCCCCAUUCAUAGUCCACACACUUUCUCAUCUUCUAGGGCACAAUAAGCACUGGGGUACUUUAAAGAGUUUGAUGCGAGUGUGAUAAUAUAUCCCAGAUAUUUAGCUUCUGAUCUUUUUGCAAACAAAAUGUUGCAGCUCUGUACUUGAGCACACACUGCAUCUCUCUCUCUCUGUGAAAUUUACAGGGCCAUGCUUGGCAGAUAACAACAGAACCUGCCUCUUUUGUUGAAGCUUGAGAGUGUCUGGUGCUUUUAUCCUAAAUGUCUCCAGAGUUUAAAUUCCCAGAAGUGGCUGAGUUACUGGGCAUCAGAAUGCACCGAAGAAUGAUAGGUGAUCAAACAUACUGCUGACCAAGAGAAAGAGAUCCAGCUCAUUUUUACUGCCUUGUAAGCAAUGUUAAAAUAAGGUCAUGUCAGAAUGAUGCCUUUCAUACCCACAAGAAAAAAAGCACAUGCUCACAGCCUGCUGAAGGCGAACAAUGUUUGACAGCUAACAGACUUCAUGUGUGUGUAGACUAAGCAGGGUCUGCAGAAUUUUUGUAGAAUUCCUUUUACAGAACAUAUUGGGUAGGCUAUAUCCUCCUAUGCUUCUGGAUGCCAAGGGCACUGUUAUAAACAGCUCCUUAUAAUGUUCAAAAAGGUGUGUUUCAUUUAAGGCUUUUAAAAAAAUAAUUCUUAUUUAUUUUAAAACUAAUUGCAUCCUCACAAUCUUUUUUUUUUACAACACAACCAGAAAAAGGGGAUUAGGAUAAAAUAAAAUUACAGACUGCAUAACAGAGCAAAAGCUUUGUGUGAUACAUUACAGUAGGCGACAUUGUGGACAAGGUAAAUACAUUACUAUGACUCAAAUACUAAAAAUAACAUAAUCCUCUCUUUUUUUUUUGUUCUUCCAGGUGUGUGUGUGGCUUAAUCCAAUAACUGUUUACUCAGGAAGCAACAUUACUACAUCUAGAGAUGCACAAAGGCUUGGCGUGGGAAAUGACUGUGUUCUCUUUUGAUAGUGAAAUCAAUAAAGUUAAACCAUUUCACCUUAAA
rnacentral:lncRNA from 1 species